UGAACAUUCCCCUUUGGAGGGAGGUCCCCUGAGCAGGGUCAGAGUGUAGUGACCCUGCCAGGUCCCUCUCCGCUUUGCAGAGGACUCAGAAGCCCCGCCCUUCUGCUCACACUCACAAGAGCCCCAUCUGGGGGAAGCCUCCUCCUGCGGGCAUUGCCAUGGCCACCAAGCUCCUCUUCUGUGUGGCCCUGUGUCUCCUGGGAGUAGGGCCCACGGAUGCUGGAGUCACCCAGACCCCUAGGCAUGAGGUGACAGAAAAGGGACAGGCAGUCACUCUGAGUUGUGAGCCGAUUAAAAGCCACGCUGCUCUUUUUUGGUACAGACAGACCUCGGUGCGGGGACUGGAACUGCUGAUAUAUUUCAACAACCAAUCUCCUGUCGACGAGUCAGGGAUGCCAAAGGACCGAUUCUCAGCUAAGAUGCCUAACGCAUCGUUCUCCACUCUGAAAAUCCAGCCCACAGAGCCUGGGGACUCGGCCACGUACCUCUGUGCCAGCAGCAAAGACACAGUGCUGUAG